rnacentral:rRNA from 1 species
UACAGAGGUCCCAAGCGUUGUUCGGAUUCACUGGGCGUAAAGGGCGCGUAGGCGGUCGGAUAAGUCUUGUGUGAAAUCUUCGGGCUCAACUCGAAGUCUGCACAGGAAACUAUCUGGCUUGAGUGUGGGAGAGGUGAGUGGAAUUCCUGGUGUAGCGGUGAAAUGCGUAGAUAUCAGGAGGAACACCUGUGGCGAAAGCGGCUCACUGGACCACAACUGACGCUGAGGCGCGAAAAGCUAGGGGGAGCAAACAGG